UCAAAAUCCGUCUUUUUCAUUGAACGUGUGUCAAGCGGUGAAGACGUAUUUUGUCUCACCCCAGCAUCAGUGGAAAUGAGAGCCAAGUGGCGUAAGAAGCGUAUGCGGAGGUUGAAGCGGAAGCGCAGGAAGAUGCGUGCGAGGUCCAAGUAAACUGCUAGAAAGCAGCGCUUCUUCCCAACUGUUGAACGUUACGAGGAGCUGGACACAAAAAACAUCUUUGCGGUUAACCUGAUGGUCUUACGAGCGGAUUGCAGUGUAAAAACAUUCGUUUGAUGGUGGCAGGUUGUGCUCUGCAUUUUAUUUGGUAUAAAUAAACUGCUUCGGCAACGCUAUGAUGAUUGAAAAAACAGUGUUUUUGAUAAACCGACAACCGUGAAUCAUAGCCUUGUUAAGAAUAUUGAUGUAAA